rnacentral:rRNA from 1 species
GAGUUUGAUCCUGGCUCAGGAUAAACGCUGGCGGCGCACAUAAGACAUGCAAGUCGAACGGACGAGAUUAAAUUCUUUACGAUUUUAAUCAAGUUAGUGGCGGACUGGUGAGUAACGCGUGAGCAACCUACCUAUAAGAGGGGAAUAACAGAGAGAAAUUUCUGCUAAUACCGCAUAAGCUGAUAGAAUCGCAUGAUUCAGUCAGAAAAGGAGCAAUCCACUAAUAGAUGGGCUCGCGUCCGAUUAGCUAGUUGGUAGGGUAAUGGCCUACCAAGGCGACGAUCGGUAGCCGGACUGAGAGGUUGAACGGCCACAUUGGGACUGAGAUACGGCCCAGACUCCUACGGGAGGCAGCAGUCGGGAAUAUUGCGCAAUGGAGGAAACUCUGACGCAGUGACGCCGCGUAUAGGAAGAAGGUUUUCGGAUUGUAAACUAUUGUCGUUAGGGAAGAGAAAGGACGGUACCUAAGGAGGAAGCCCCGGCUAACUAUGUGCCAGCAGCCGCGGUAAUACAUAGGGGGCAAGCGUUAUCCGGAAUUACUGGGUGUAAAGGGUGCGUAGACGGGAAGGUAAGUUAGUAGUGAAAUCCCCUGGCUCAACUGGGGAACUGCUACUAAGACUGCUGUUCUUGAGUACUGGAGAGGAAAGUGGAAUUCCUAGUGUAGCGGUGAAAUGCGUAGAUAUUAGGAGGAACACCAGUGGCGAAGGCGACUUUCUGGACAGAAACUGACGUUGAGGCACGAAAGUGUGGGGAGCAAACAGGAUUAGAUACCCUGGUAGUCCACACCGUAAACGAUGGAUACUAGGUGUAGGGAGUAAAUCUCUGUGCCGUCGCAAACGCAAUAAGUAUCCCACCUGGGGAGUACGGCCGCAAGGUUGAAACUCAAAGGAAUUGACGGGGGCCCGCACAAGCAGUGGAGUAUGUGGUUUAAUUCGAAGCAC